CGCUUAUUGCGCGGCGAUAAACCUUACACACAUUGUCUAGUUUUUUUGAACUUUGCUUUGGGUGCAUCAGCCUAGCUGCGUGCCCAAAGGUCUAAACACAUUUUUUAAUGUUAAAACCUUUAACCAAUAGUCAUGAAAAUUUUUAACAAAAAUUAAAAUCUUCAAAACUUUCAACAACGGAUCUCUUGGUUCUCGCAACGAUGAAGAACGCAGCGAAAUGCGAUACGUAUUGUGAAUUGCAGAUUUUCGUGAAUCAUCGAAUCUUUGAACGCACAUUGCACCCUCUGGUAUUCCAGAGGGUAUGCCUGUUUGAGCGUCAUUUCUCUCUCAAACCUUCGGGUUUGGUAUUGAGUGAUACUCUGUCAAGGGUUAACUUGAAAUAUUGACUUAGCAAGAGUGUACUAAUAAGCAGUCUUUCUGAAAUAAUGUAUUAGGUUCUUCCAACUCGUUAUAUCAGCUAGGCAGGUUUAGAAGUAUUUUAGGCUCGGCUUAACAACAAUAAACUAAAAGUUUGACCUCAAAUCAGGUAGGACUACCCGCUGAACUUAAGCAUAUCAAUA
rnacentral:rRNA from 1 species